CACCUUUCACUAGGCCAGGUUGCUUAGAGCCCCAUCCAGCCUAUCCUUGAACACUUCCAGGAAUGGGCAUCUACAGCUUCUAUGGGCAACCUGUUCCAGUGCUCACCACUCUCACAGAAAGGUGCCCAGUAGGUUUGACACCAAAGGCAACAGCUCUGUUUUGGAUACAAGCCUUCAAAGAAAAGAGUCUGAAACCUGACUUAAGACUGGGCAGCAACUCUUGGUCACAGUAUUCCAAGAAAGUAAGUUUCUCAAAGCAGUACAACAGAUAUGAACACGAAGAAUACUCAUGCCUCAUCCUACCGACACUGAGCUAGCCAAGAGAGGUCCUUUCCACUAACUUGAGCUUCACUGUGCCAUUCAGAGAAAUAUGAUGAAGAAUUUCCAAGUCUGGAGUUUUCACUAUUUCUACAGAACCUAUGUUCUCUAAAGUAUAUAGGUGCUCUGAACCAAAGGCAGACAGCUAAACAUGAAUGGAUAGGCAUUUCUGGCAAUUUGUAGGCACUUGCUAAUUUUCAGGUGAAAGCUAUCAAGAGAUUUUAAGACCACUCUGCAGAAAGAAAGCAAAAGAGUUAAGAUUUUUCCUGCCAGUUCAGCAGAAUUAUACACAACUCCAUUUUUGUACACAAACCAAUGCUAAUACUGCACUGGUCACCAAGCAUUUCUUACAUGAUUUGGUCAAAGCCCCUGUCUUAUUCUUUGACUUAUUCUUUCCUUCCUGCUAAGACUAAAAUAUACUCUUACAUUUUGAGCCAGAAAAUUACUCCAAAUACAAAGUGAAGAGGCUGCAUACUUCCUCCAGCUGCCUCCCCAGUUUUUCAGAAAUAAUAUUUUCUUCCUCAUCUAGCUCAAUGUGUUUCAGAAACAGCAAAAACCUGGCUUGAGGAAACAUUUGUCACUCUCUGGCCCAAAUGCCAGCAAGACUGGGUCAAAACCUCUGAAAAUUAACGCCUGCUCUGUGCAGGUUUUUAUGAGAUUUCACUGCUAAGCACGUCUCGAGGGAUCAUUGCAGCCAAAGAGCAGAACACACAAAGGCAGCAGGCCAGAUUAGCGCAGGGAUAACAAAUGCCCAAGGCUUUUGCCUUGUGAAAAGAGAGCUAUGUUUCCCCCAACCUUUACUAAUGAGCCAGACAUCAUCUUCCUUCUUUAGGGAGUAACAGACACCAACCCAGUCAUACAGCACGCAUCUGACCAAGGACAUGGUGCCCCCCACAGACCACCAAACAGAUGUUUCUGGUAUUUACAAAACAGAAAGGAAACUGUAGAGAGUAUGUACAGCCUGGGCAGCUGUUUUCUGUGAACCUGUCCAUGUUCUGUGUGUCUACCAGGCAUGUUUACUGAGACCUCAGCAAGCAGACCUCUCCAGGGAUGCAAAUACAUGAGUUCUCAUGCCUGUCCCACAACUCACCUCUUUGGCAGAGACUGCUGGCAAGGCUGAGCACAUGCUCCUAGACUCACCAGCCUUUCAGAACUGCUUUAUGUCACUUCUCCAAAACAAUUUCUACUUUAACAUUUUCCUGAUGUCUACCUGGGCUCUCACAUGUUCCAGAGAAGCAAAAUUUCUUCCUGCCACGUUUUGCAACAAGAACCGUAUGUGUACAGCACAGCACCGGCUCCCUGAUUUACCUCAUGGUUAUUCCCCAAGGCCCUGAUUCAGAGAGUAGCUCUUUUC